ensembl:lncRNA
GGAUAAUCACAUACAAAAGAGGUAAGCAUAAAAAAUCUUUUAAUUAAUAACUUCAGGAAUGAUUACUUCACAGUUCAUACACUGUGAGGGAACACAACACGUCAUCAUGUGGCUAUAAUGAGUAAUACGCGAAACGCAAAUCUACAGUGAUGCAAAUGACGUAUUUCCUGCUUAUGUACCAGGAAGAUACAGCCAAACUCAAUAUGGCGUCCACACGUGUAUCGGGACUUCUUUCCACUAAUGAGAAGGUAUGAUAUUUUAAGGAUUAGCACUGAUUCAAUUCACUGUGUUUGCAAAAAUAUAGGACAGUUAUGACACAAUCUUGCAAAAAAUUUUAGCGAAAUAGAUGAGCACAGACUUUCGAAAUUUUUUACCAUCUUAGUCACACACGCACAGACCCACACGUGUGGGUGUGUGUCUGUUGUGGUUUUCUGUGUACUGACCAAAUUAUUUUGAAUAUGAAACUUCCUCUUGCUUUACUGUAGUGUUCACUUUACAUGUUAAAAGGUCUUAUUUUAUCUUUGAAUACCAAGAUGUUUUUUUCGCCUCAGGAUCUAAUUCCGGUUAAUUUUCCACGUAAUGUAUAUAAAUUACACAUCCCUCACCUCCACAUUAUGGAACAAACUAAUGAGAAGUAAACAUACCAUCACACUAUAUUUUCAGAUUAGUUUUAGAUCUCUGCAAUCAUGUAACUUAAUGUAACACCAGUCAGGAUACCAGGGAAUUGCACAUUCUUGGGUUAAUCACAGUAAAUCACAGUUUGCAUAAUGGCUUAUGAUCACAGUACUGUUAAAAUUCUCAAAAUUGCUUGGUGUUCUGGCUACAAGGCAUCAUUUAAUGUCAGUAUUGUCAAAGUGCUGUGGUAAAAGGAAUAAAUCAGUUUGGGACUUUGGAAAAUAAUCAACUUCAGGGUGGUAACACAUCACACCAAACCAUCAUGUUUUAUUCCUUGCAUAUAUUACGUGUACUAAUCAUAGGUCAUGAAACAUGUCUAAAACCAUACAGAGAAAGUCAUUUCAUUUUAAUAUAACCAUAUGAAAACGUUACUAAUUCAGAUUGCAGAACUACAAUAUAAAUCUAUAACUCACUGAGCAACUAUUAGAGUCUGAAAUAUUUAAUUGUUGUGUUUGUCUCUCUCUGUAAAUAGCUAAAAAUAGCAUGUGUAUUAGCAUUACUGUCGAAAAGUCUUCGGCACCCAUUCACCCAUUUAUUCCAAUCAUUUAUUUUGCACAAAAAAAAGGUCCAUCACGUUAAAUGUUAUACCAUUAAAGAAAGGCAGAUGUUAAGUAAUAAAUCAACUGUACAGAAAUCCCAGUGUCUUUUGUGUGCUUUCUCUUUCAGAUUCCUGUACAAUGUAUGGAUGACCCCUUUGGGUUCAAAGCUGAGGUGAUUUAUGGAGAUGAGUCCAUUCCUCUGUAUCGGUGUACCCCAUUUCUCACCGUCCAUAGUAGGCAGCACAUGCCCACUGUCUACGGCAAUGAAAGCUCUGGUGCUGAAGUUGAGGAUACCCACAUCUUUGAAUCACUUCAUACAGCUGAAUCAAGACAUCAAAUGCAGGACAUGUCAAGUGCUGAUGACCGUAGACAACCUAAUGCCAGACCACGUCCUGUCUGGCCCGAGGACACUGAUGCUCACUACAGUCGCAAUCAUCUAACCUUUACUGAUGGUGGCUUUCCACUAACCAUGGCUAUGGGUGGAAUGGGAAACUACAAGCCUCAGCAGAUAGAGAGUCUUGUACUGCCGGAGGAGGAAGAAUGGGACAAGAAUCCAAGAACAAGGAUGAAAAAAGGGGGGAAAAGAGGAGGGAAAAAAUCCCGUAGAAAGCAACGGCAAUAUUGACGAAAUAUGGAAAAUGCACUUAAUGCACUUGUAUAAUGCAUUAAUACUUUAACUAGCUUUUUCUAUAGUGUAGACUAUGCUGUUCCUUUAUAGUCCAAACUUUAUAGUCCAGAGUCGUUUAUGUGCAUUUCUUCUGUGUCUUUUUUAUGUAUGUAAACUGCACAAAAUAGAGAUCAGAUGACGCAACAAACUGCAAACAAAAUUGACUUGAAAAAGACUGGUGUAGGUUCUCAUCUACCAGAAUAUACCUGUACUCCAGCAGAAGAAACCAGUACUGCCCUUCAUAGUGUGGUCCAGGGUGCUCAAUACUCUUAACCAUGUCUCUGGCAACGCCAUCCAUUUAACUCAAAUGUUUGUGUUUGGUGGAUGAGAAUAACUGUGCUAAAUGUACCUUUUCAAUCACACACAAGAUUCCAUUUGCUGAGCAAGUAUUAAACAAGGCUAGUGUAAUGAACAUGCAACAGAAAGGAGAUCAUUCUAGAAACUUCACUUAAAAAAAACCAAGGUAACCAAAAUUCUCAUUUCUCAAGAUACAGAGUCAACAGUUUCUAUUAAACUGUCAGAGUCAGUCAUUCCUAUAACAUUCUUAUUGUCAUUUCUUUGCAUACUUGUUCAUUUCAAGUUUAUGUUCAAGUGCUCCAUAGAUUUCAAUAGUGCAUUUGCUAGCGACAUUGCUGUAUUUGCAAUCUGUAUUGCUGACAUCUGUUACCUAAGCAAAUAAAACAACAGCACUUGACAACAAGGACUGAAUAAAACAAAAGAAAGGAUUCCCCCAAGGGGAAACACUGAGAAAAAGAUGACAAGGAUGUGUUAAAAAGAAUACUGAAACUCACCCAUUAGCCAUAACCAUAGUAGUUGAAGUCUUGUAGUUGCAUCUUGUGAUUUCCUG